rnacentral:rRNA from 1 species
GACGGAGGAGGCAAGCGUUGUCCGGAAUCAUUGGGCGUAAAGAGCGCGUAGGCUGUUUUUCAAGUCAUAUGUGAAAACCUCAGGCUUAACUUGAGGACUGCAUAUGAAACUGGAAAACUUGAGUGCAGUAGGGGAAAGUGGAAUUCCUGGUGUAGCGGUGAAAUGCGCAGAUAUCAGGAAGAACACCGGUAGCGAAGGCGGCUUUCUGGGCUGCUACUGACGCUGAGGCGCGAAAGCUAGGGGAGCAAACAGGAUUAGAUACCCCCGUA